GACGAACGCUGGCGGCGUGCUUAACACAUGCAAGUCGAACGGAAAGGCCCUGCUUUUGUGGGGUGCUCGAGUGGCGAACGGGUGAGUAACACGUGAGUAACCUGCCCUUGACUUUGGGAUAACUUCAGGAAACUGGGGCUAAUACCGGAUAGGAGCUCCUGCUGCAUGGUGGGGGUUGGAAAGUUUCGGCGGUUGGGGAUGGACUCGCGGCUUAUCAGCUUGUUGGUGGGGUAGUGGCUUACCAAGGCUUUAACGGGUAGCCGGCCUGAGAGGGUGACCGGCCACAUUGGGACUGAGAUACGGCCCAGACUCCUACGGGAGGCAGCAGUGGGGAAUAUUGCACAAUGGGCGGAAGCCUGAUGCAGCAACGCCGCGUGCGGGAUGACGGCCUUCGGGUUGUAAACCGCUUUCGCCUGUGACGAAGCGUGAGUGACGGUAAUGGGUAAAGAAGCACCGGCUAACUAUGUG
rnacentral:rRNA from 1 species